rnacentral:sRNA from 1 species
AUGGCUGUCGUCAGCUCGUGCCGUGAGGUGUUGGGUUAAGUCCCGCAACGAGCGCAACCCUCGGGGCUAGUUACCGUGUCUAGCCCGACUGCCGCGACAAACGCGGAGGAAGGUGGGGAUGACGUCAAGUCAGCACGGCUCUUACAUCCUGGGCGACACACACGCUACAAUGGACGCGACAAUAGGAUGCGAAGCCGCAAGGCGGAGCCAAUCCACCAAAGGCGUCCUCAGUUCAGAUCGGCGUCUGCAACCCGACGCCGUGAAGGCGGAGUUGCUAGUAACCGCGGGUCAGCACACCGCGGUGAAUACGUUCCCGGGCCUUGUACACACCGCCCGUCACGUCAUGAAAGCCGGCAACACCUGAAGCCGCUGGCCCAACGCGCAAGCGGGGGAGGCGUCGAGGGUGGGGCGGGUGAUUGGGACGAAGUCGUAACAAGGUAGCCGUAGCGGAAGCUGCGGCUGGAUCACCUCCUUUCUAGGGAGCCACCGCGCGCGGAGGCGGACCUCGUGACUGACGCGGCCCGCAACGGCUCCGUGCGUUGGUCAUCCCAGGUCGAUCGGACCCUGCCUGGUCUGAGGAGCAAUCCUCGGGACAGGGGGGGAUCUGUGAUCGGCUCUGCUUUCUGGUCACUCUUCACGGGGGAACGUGCCCUUGGGGAUCGGGCUGCCCGUCGUGUGAGCACCGCCACCCGAUCCCGUUGGGCCUUUAGCUCAGUUGGGUAGAGCGCAGUCCUGAUAAGACUGAGGUCUCUGGUUCGAGCCCAGAAAGGCCCACCUCCCGCUCCACUCGUGCGCAAUCACGAGGGGUGUGGGGUCCUGGGGAUGUAGCUCAACUGGGAGAGCGCCUCCCUUGCACGGAGGAGGCCGAGGGUUCGAAUCCCUUCAUCUCCACCUGGCGCGCUUGGGCAGGAAUGCCUGAGUGGCCUGUCUCCGCCCCGGUCGGACGGCUCUGGCAACGAGCGCCGUCAGCGGGGACGCACCUUGCCAAGUGAAGAUGGCACAGACAAGCAAGAAGAGGUCGCAAGAGCGAGGGCGCGCUGGUGCGCAAAGAGACACACAGCAGACGGUGAAUGCCCUGGCGAUGUGAGGCCGACGAAGGACGGAGCACGGCGCCGAAACGUGCGGGGGAGGAGCCUAGCAUCCUGAGAUCCCGCGCUGUCCGAAUGGGGAAACCCGG